rnacentral:rRNA from 1 species
AGAACUUUAGCAGAGAUGCUUUUGGUGCCUUUCGGGAACUCUGAGACAGGUGCUGCAUGGCUGUCGUCAGCUCGUGUUGUGAAAUGUUGGGUUAAGUCCCGCAACGAGCGCAACCCUUUAUCCUUUGUUGCCAGCGGUUAGGCCGGGAACUCAAAGGAGACUGCCAGUGAUAAACUGGAGGAAGGUGGGGAUGACGUCAAGUCAUCAUGGCCCUUACGAGUAGGGCUACACACGUGCUACAAUGGCGCAUACAAAGAGAAGCGACCUCGCGAGAGCAAGCGGACCUCAUAAAGUGCGUCGUAGUCCGGAUUGGAGUCUGCAACUCGACUCCAUGAAGUCGGAAUCGCUAGUAAUCGUGGAUCAGAAUGCCACGGUGAAUACGUUCCCGGGCCUUGUACACACCGCCCGUCACACCAUGGGAGUGGGUUGCAAAAGAAGUAGGUAGCUUAACCUUCGGGAGGGCGCUUACCACUUUGUGAUUCAUGACUGGGGUGAAGUCGUAACAAGGUAAGCGUAGUGCU